rnacentral:rRNA from 1 species
GCGCUUUCCAUGAGUCGGGUUGCUUGGGAAUGCAUCCCAUAAUUGGUGGUAGACUCCAUCUAAAGCUGAAUACUGGCACGAGACCGAUAGCGAACAAGUACCGUGAGGGAAAGAUGAAAAGAACUUUGAAAAGAGAGUUAAAAAGUGCGUGAAACCGUUAGAGGGGAAGCGGAUGAAGUUAGCAAUGCCCCUGCGAGAUUCAGGUGCCCUACCUGGUCCGACGUGUGGCUGGCGGAUCCGAACGGACUGUCUCCACUCUACUCGGCCGGGUACUCGCCGCACUUCUCGCAGGGGUGCGUCAACACCUGCUGGAUGAUACACAUGUAGCGGACUGCUACGACGAGCGAAACGGCGUCUGUGGAAGGUAGGUGGCCGGCUCGCCCGGGCACUGUUACAGCCACUAGUGUCCCAACUCGCGUCUGGCAGAGGAACCGGCUGGUUUUUGUAUUCAGCCGGCGCGGUGCAUGCCCCUGGCUCGCCGGGGGCUGGCGUCCUGUCGCGUUCAACCACUCCUAUUCCCGUCUGGGGUGCACUGCGUGCAGUUCACUCCACGAGGCCGAAGAUGCGCUCAGUGCACGCACACUAUGUACCAAGGUUGUUGGCGGCCAUAUGGCUUCUUCCGACCCGUCUUGAAACACGGACCAAGGAGUCUAACAUGUGCGCGAGUCUUGGGGUGACCGAAACCCACGGGCACGAUGAACUGAAAGGUUGAUGCACUGUCGGCUCGCCCGCCCUCAAAAGCGGCGUGGGGCGGCUGCACGGCUGAGGUGAGAUCGCCUCGCGUCGUUUGCGCGACGUGGGUGCGCAUCAUCGACCGACCUGUUCUACUCCUAGAAAGGUUUGAGUAGAGCGUACAUGCUGGGACCCGAAGAUGGUGACUAUGCCUGAGUAGGGUGAGCAGAGGAAACUCUGGUGAGCUCGUAGCGAUCUGACGUGCAAUCGAUCGUCAACUUGGGUAUAGGGGCGAAGACUAUCGACAUCUAGAC